UACGUAGGUGGCGAGCGUUAAUCGGAAUUACUGGGCGUAAAGCGUGCGCAGGCGGUUUUGUAAGCCAGAUGUGAAAUCCCCGGGCUCAACCUGGGAAUUGCGAUGAAGACUGCAAGGCUUGAAUCUGGCAGAGGGGGGUAGAAUUCCACGUGUAGCAGUGAAAUGCGUAGAGAUGUGGAGGAACACCGAUGGCGAAGGCAGCCCCCUGGGUCAAGAUUGACGCUCAUGCACGAAAGCGUGGGGAGCAAACAGG
rnacentral:rRNA from 1 species